rnacentral:tRNA from 1 species
GGGGGCAUAGCUCAGCUGGUUAGAGCACCUGCCUUACAAGCAGGGGGUCACAGGUUCGAGUCCUGUUGUCCCCA